rnacentral:rRNA from 1 species
GAUGAACGCUGGCGGCGUGCCUAAUACAUGCAAGUCGAGCGAACAGACGAGGAGCUUGCUCCUCUGACGUUAGCGGCGGACGGUGAGUAACACGUGGAUAACCUACCUAUAAGACUGGGAUAACUUCGGGAAACCGGAGCUAAUACCGGAUAAUAUAUUGAACCGCAUGGUUCAAUAGUGAAAGACGGUUUUGCCGUUACCUAUAGAUGGAUCCGCGCCGCAUUAGCUAGUUGGUAAGGUAACGGCUUACCAAGGCAACGAUGCGUAGCCGACCUGAGAGGGUGAUCGGCCACACUGGAACUGAGACACGGUCCAGACUCCUACGGGAGGCAGCAGUAGGGAAUCUUCCGCAAUGGGCGAAAGCCUGACGGAGCAACGCCGCGUGAGUGAUGAAGGUCUUCGGAUCGUAAAACUCUGUUAUUAGGGAAGAACAAAUGUGUAAGUAACUAUGCACGUCUUGACGGUACCUAAUCAGAAAGCCACGGCUAACUACGUG